rnacentral:rRNA from 1 species
AGUGAACGCUGGCGGUAGGCCUAACACAUGCAAGUCGAACGGCAGCACAGUAAGAGCUUGCUCUUACGGGUGGCGGGUGGCGGACGGGUGAGGAAUACAUCGGAAUCUACUUUUUCGUGGGGGAUAACGUAGGGAAACUUACGCUAAUACCGCAUACGACCUACGGGUGAAAGCAGGGGAUCUUCGGACCUUGCGCGAUUGAAUGAGCCGAUGUCGGAUUAGCUAGUUGGCGGGGUAAAGGCCCACCAAGGCGACGAUCCGUAGCUGGUCUGAGAGGAUGAUCAGCCACACUGGAACUGAGACACGGUCCAGACUCCUACGGGAGGCAGCAGUGGGGAAUAUUGGACAAUGGGCGCAAGCCUGAUCCAGCCAUACCGCGUGGGUGAAGAAGGCCUUCGGGUUGUAAAGCCCUUUUGUUGGGAAAGAAAAGCAGCAGAUUAAUACCCCGCUGUUCUGACGGUACCCAAAGAAUAAGCACCGGCUAACUUCGUG